rnacentral:lncRNA from 1 species
GAGAAAUAUAAUCUCACAAUGGUGACUGAAUUCAUCCUGGUGGGCAUCACUUACCACCCUGAGUUUCAGGUACCAUUGUUUGGACUGUUCCUCAUCAUUUAUCUGACCUCACUGGUUGGCAACUUGGGCAUAAUCAUCCUUGCCAUGGUGGAUUCCAGGCUGCAAACACCCAUGUACUUCUUUCUCAGACAUCUUGCUACUAUAGAUCUUGGUUGGAGACCAAAAUGUUAAACAAUUUUCUUGUAGAUCAAAAUACAAUAUCAUUUUAUGCCUGUGCUAUCCAGUUAUCUUUCUUUAGUAUGUUCACUAUUAAGAAAUAUUUUAUUCUUUCUGCAAUGUCUUAUGACUGUUAUUUGGCCUUCUGUAAACCACUCCUCUACACUAUCAUCAUGUCAAAAAGAGUUUGUUGGUGUCUAGUGGCGAUCAUUAUCUUUACCUGACAACUUUGCCUGUUAUAAUGAAAAUUAAGAUGUUUUCUUUGUUUUUCUGUGUGCACAAGUCAUCAGUAAUUUCUAAUGCAACAGUCUUCCUUUUUAACGUUGCUCUGUUCGAAUAUUCACAAAAUUGAACAGAUCAUUUGAUCUCUUCAGCUUUU